rnacentral:rRNA from 1 species
AUUGAACGCUGGCGGCAUGCUUUACACAUGCAAGUCGAACGGCAGCGGGUCCUUCGGGAUGCCGGCGAGUGGCGAACGGGUGAGUAAUGCAUCGGAACGUACCGUGUAAUGGGGGAUAACGUAGCGAAAGUUACGCUAAUACCGCAUACGCCCUGAGGGGGAAAGCGGGGAUCGCAAGACCUCGCGUUAUACGAGCGGCCGAUGUCGGAUUAGCUAGUUGGUGGGGUAAAGGCUCACCAAGGCGACGAUCCGUAGCGGGUCUGAGAGGAUGAUCCGCCACACUGGGACUGAGACACGGCCCAGACUCCUACGGGAGGCAGCAGUGGGGAAUUUUGGACAAUGGGGGCAACCCUGAUCCAGCCAUGCCGCGUGCGGGAAGAAGGCCUUCGG